GGGCGGUUAGCUCAGUUGGUAGAGCGCCUGCUUUACACGCAGGAUGUCGGGGGUUCGAGACCCUCACCGCCCA
rnacentral:tRNA from 1 species